rnacentral:rRNA from 1 species
GACGAACGCUGGCGGCGUGCUUAACACAUGCAAGUCGAACGGUAAGGCCCUUCGGGGUACACGAGUGGCGAACGGGUGAGUAACACGUGGGUAAUCUGCCCUGCACAUCGGGAUAAGCCUGGGAAACUGGGUCUAAUACCGAAUAGGACCACAGGACACAUGUCCUGUGGUGGAAAGCUUUUGCGGCGUGGGAUGGGCCCGCGGCCUAUCAGCUUGUUGGUGGGGUGAUGGCCUACCAAGGCGACGACGGGUAGCCGGCCUGAGAGGGUGUCCGGCCACACUGGGACUGAGAUACGGCCCAGACUCCUACGGGAGGCAGCAGUGGGGAAUAUUGCACAAUGGGCGAAAGCCUGAUGCAGCGACGCCGCGUGGGGGAUGACGGCCUUCGGGUUGUAAACCUCUUUCACCAUCGACGAAGGUCCGGGUUUUCUCGGGCUGACGGUAGGUGGAGAAGAAGCACCGGCCAACUACGUG